rnacentral:rRNA from 1 species
GACGAACGCUGGCGGCGUGCUUAACACAUGCAAGUCGAACGGAAAGGCCCUGCUUUUGUUGGGUGCUCGAUUGGCGAACGGGUGAGUAACACGUGAGUAACCUGCCCUUGACUUUGUGAUAACUUCAGGAAACUGGGGCUAAUACCGGAUAGGAGCUCCUGCUGCAUGUUGGUGGUUGGAAAGUGUCGGCGGUGCGGGAUGGACUCGCGGCUUACCAGCUGGUUUGGGUGGUAGUGGCGUACCAAGGCUUUGACGGGUAGCCGGCCUGGGAGGGUUGCCGGCCACAUUGGGCCUACGAUACGGACCAGAAUCCUACGGGCGGCAGCAGUGGGGAAUAUUGCACAAUGGGCGGAAGCCUGAUGCAGCAAUGCCGCGUGCGGGAUACCGGCCUUCGGGUUGUAAACCGCUUUCGCCGGUGACGAAGCGUGAGUGACGGUAAUGGGUAAAGAAGCACCGGCUAACUACGUG